rnacentral:rRNA from 1 species
UACGAAGGGGGCUAGCGUUGCUCGGAAUCACUGGGCGUAAAGGGUGCGUAGGCGGGUCUUUUAAGUCAGGGGUGAAAUCCUGGAGCUCAACUCCAGAACUGCCUUUGAUACUGAGGAUCUCGAGUCCGGGAGAGGUGAGUGGAACUCCGAGUGUAGAGGUGAAAUUCGUAGAUAUUCGGAAGAACACCAGUGGCGAAGGCGGCUCACUGGCCCGGUACUGACGCUGAGGUGCGAAAGCGUGGGGAGCAAACAGG